AACGAACGCUGGCGGCAGGCUUAACACAUGCAAGUCGAGCGCCCCGCAAGGGGAGCGGCAGACGGGUGAGUAACGCGUGGGAACGUACCCUUUGCUACGGAAUAGCUCCGGGAAACUGGAAUUAAUACCGUAUGUGCCCUACGGGGGAAAGAUUUAUCGGCAAAGGAUCGGCCCGCGUUGGAUUAGCUAGUUGGUGGGGUAAUGGCCUACCAAGGCGACGAUCCAUAGCUGGCCUGAGAGGAUGAUCAGCCACAUUGGGACUGAGACACGGCCCAAACUCCUACGGGAGGCAGCAGUGGGGAAUAUUGGACAAUGGGCGCAAGCCUGAUCUAGCCAUGCCGCGUGAGUGAUGAAGGCCUUAGGGUUGUAAAGCUCUUCCACCGGAGAAGAUAAUGACGGUAUCCGGAGAAGGAGCCCCGGCUAACUUCGUGCCAGCCGCCGCGGUAAAAC
rnacentral:rRNA from 1 species